rnacentral:lncRNA from 10 species
UUUUUUACCUAAUCUUGUCUUCACACUUUAUUUCAUUAAGUUGAUCUUCAAUCUCUGAUACCCUUUCUUCUGCUUGAUCAAUUUGGCUAUUGAUACUUGUGUAUCCCUCACGAAGGUCUUAUGCUGUGUUUUUCAGCUCCAUCAGAUCAUUUAUGUUCUUCUCUACAUUGGUUAUGCUAGUUAGCAAUUCCUCUAACCUUUUAUCAAGGUUCUUAGCUUCCUUGCAUUGGGUUAGAACAUGCUCCUUUAGCUCAGAAAAGUUUGUUAUUACCUACCUUCUGAAGCCUACUACUGUCAAUUCGUCAAACGCAUUCUCCAUCAGUUUUUUCCCUUGGUGGCAAGGAAUUGUGAUCCUUUGGAGCAGAAGAGGCUUUCUGUUUUUUGGAAUUUUCGGUCUUUUUUCACUGUUUUUUUCUCAAUUUUGUGGAUGUAUCUACCUUUGGUCUUUGAUGUUGGUGACCUUAGUAUGGAGUUUUUGUGGGGUCAUCCUUUUUGUUGAUUUUGAUGCUAUUGCUUUCUAUUGGUUAGUUUUCCUUCUAACAGUCAGGCCCCUCUUCUGCAGGUUUGCUAGAGUUUGCUAAGGCAUCCACUCCAGAUCCUCUUUGCCUGGGUAUCACCAGCAGAGGCUGUAGAACAGCAAAGAUUGCUGCCUGCUCCUUCCUCUGGAAACUUUGUCCCAGAGGGGCACCUGCCAGAUGCCAGCCGGAGCUCUCCUGUAUGAGGUGUCUGUCAACCUCUGCUGGGAGGUGUCUCCCUGUCAGGAGACAUGGGGUCAGGGACCCACCUGAGAAGGCAGAAUGUCCCUUAGCAGAGCUUGAGCCGAGCAUUGUGCUGGGAGAUCCACUGCUCUCUUCAGAGCCAGCAGGCAGGAACAUUUAAGUCUGCUGAAGCUGAGCCCACAGCCGCCCCUUUCCCCAGGUGCUCUGUCUUUGAGAAAUGGGAGUUUUAUCUAUAAGCCCCUGACUGGGGCUGCCGCCUUUCUUUCAGAGAUUCCCUACCCAGAGAGGAGGAAUCUAGAGAGGCAGUCUGGCUACAGAGGCUUUGCCCAGCUCUGGUAGGCUCCGCCCAAUCCAAACUUCCAGGUGGCUUUGUUUACACUGAGCUAGAAAUGCAGAAAUCACCUGCCUUCUGCAUUGUUCUCCCUGGGAGCUGCAGACAGGAGCUGUUCCUAUUUGGCCAUCUUGCCUGGGAAUCCUCAUGUUGUUUCUUAAAGGAGAAGACCUAGUAAUAAAAACAGAAAUGCCUUUUAAAUAUUUUAACAAUGAUGGUUGAUAGAAAAGGUGAGGCUACACGGAACGGGGAGCUGGCUACAAAUCAAGAAGCGGGCCCUCACCAGACACUGCAUCUGCUGCCACCUUGAUCUUCAACUUCCCAGCUUCUAGACGAAAGAGGAAAUCUGGACACAUGCAAGAAACACCAGGGAUGCAUGUGCACAGAGGAAUGACCAUGUGAGCACAUAGUGGAGGGCAACCAACUACAAGCCAAGGAGAGAGACCUCAGAAGCAACCAAUCCCCCUGACACCUUGAUCUUGGACUUCUCAGCCUGUAGAACUGUGAAAAAAUAAAUUUUUGUUGUUUAAGACA